UGCGCAGGCGGUUCUGUAAGACAGAUGUGAAAUCCCCGGGCUCAACCUGGGAAUUGCAUUUGUGACUGCAGGACUAGAGUUCAUCAGAGGGGGGUGGAAUUCCAAGCGUAGCAGUGAAAUGCGUAGAUAUUUGGAAGAACACCAAUGGCGAAGGCAGCCCCCUGGGAUGCGACUGACGCUCAUGCACGAAAGCUGGGAGCAAACA
rnacentral:rRNA from 1 species